AUAUUCUGUAGCAAGGUUAACCGAAUAGGGGAGCCGAAGGGAAACCGAGUCUUAACUGGGCGUUAAGUUGCAGGGUAUAGACCCGAAACCCGGUGAUCUAGCCAUGGGCAGGUUGAAGGUUGGGUAACACUAACUGGAGGACCGAACCGACUAAUGUUGAAAAAUUAGCGGAUGACUUGUGGCUGGGGGUGAAAGGCCAAUCAAACCGGGAGAUAGCUGGUUCUCCCCGAAAGCUAUUUAGGUAGCGCCUCGUGAAUUCAUCUCCGGGGGUAGAGCACUGUUUCGGCAAGGGGGUCAUCCCGACUUACCAACCCGAUGCAAACUGCGAAUACCGGAGAAUGUUAUCACGGGAGACACACGGCGGGUGCUAACGUCCGUCGUGAAGAGGGAAACAACCCAGACCGCCAGCUAAGGUCCCAAAGUCAUGGUUAAGUGGGAAACGAUGUGGGAAGGCCCAGACAGCCAGGAUGUUGGCUUAGAAGCAGCCAUCAUUUAAAGAAAGCGUAAUAGCUCACUGGUCGAGUCGGCCUGCGCGGAAGAUGUAACGGGGCUAAACCAUGCACCGAAGCUGCGGCAGCGACGCUGAUGCGUUGUUGGGUAGGGGAGCGUUCUGUAAGCCUGUGAAGGUGUACUGUGAGGUAUGCUGGAGGUAUCAGAAGUGCGAAUGCUGACAUAAGUAACGAUAAAGCGGGUGAAAAGCCCGCUCGCCGGAAGACCAAGGGUUCCUGUCCAACGUUAAUCGGGGCAGGGUGAGUCGACCCCUAAGGCGAGGCCGAAAGGCGUAGUCGAUGGGAAACAGGUUAAUAUUCCUGUACUUGGUGUUACUGCGAAGGGGGGACGGAGAAGGCUAUGUUGGCCGGGCGACGGUUGUCCCGGUUUAAGCGUGUAGGCUGGUUUUCCAGGCAAAUCCGGAAAAUCAAGGCUGAGGCGUGAUGACGAGGCACUACGGUGCUGAAGCAACAAAUGCCCUGCUUCCAGGAAAAGCCUCUAAGCAUCAGGUAACAUCAAAUCGUACCCCAAACCGACACAGGUGGUCAGGUAGAGAAUACCAAGGCGCUUGAGAGAACUCGGGUGAAGGAACUAGGCAAAAUGGUGCCGUAACUUCGGGAGAAGGCACGCUGAUAUGUAGGUGAAGUCCCUCGCGGAUGGAGCUGAAAUCAGUCGAAGAUACCAGCUGGCUGCAACUGUUUAUUAAAAACACAGCACUGUGCAAACACGAAAGUGGACGUAUACGGUGUGACGCCUGCCCGGUGCCGGAAGGUUAAUUGAUGGGGUUAGCGCAAGCGAAGCUCUUGAUCGAAGCCCCGGUAAACGGCGGCCGUAACUAUAACGGUCCUAAGGUAGCGAAAUUCCUUGUCGGGUAAGUUCCGACCUGCACGAAUGGCGUAAUGAUGGCCAGGCUGUCUCCACCCGAGACUCAGUGAAAUUGAACUCGCUGUGAAGAUGCAGUGUACCCGCGGCAAGACGGAAAGACCCCGUGAACCUUUACUAUAGCUUGACACUGAACAUUGAGCCUUGAUGUGUAGGAUAGGUGGGAGGCUUUGAAGUGUGGACGCCAGUCUGCAUGGAGCCGACCUUGAAAUACCACCCUUUAAUGUUUGAUGUUCUAACGUUGACCCGUGAUCCGGGUUGCGGACAGUGUCUGGUGGGUAGUUUGACUGGGGCGGUCUCCUCCUAAAGAGUAACGGAGGAGCACGAAGGU
rnacentral:rRNA from 1 species